GACGAACGCUGGCGGCGUGCCUAAUACAUGCAAGUAGAACGCUGAAGAGAGGAGCUUGCUCUUCUUGGAUGAGUUGCGAACGGGUGAGUAACGCGUAGGUAACCUGCCUUGUAGCGGGGGAUAACUAUUGGAAACGAUAGCUAAUACCGCAUAACAAUGGAUGACACAUGUCAUUUAUUUGAAAGGGGCAAUUGCUCCACUACAAGAUGGACCUGCGUUGUAUUAGCUAGUAGGUGAGGUAAUGGCUCACCUAGGCGACGAUACAUAGCCGACCUGAGAGGGUGAUCGGCCACACUGGGACUGAGACACGGCCCAGACUCCUACGGGAGGCAGCAGUAGGGAAUCUUCGGCAAUGGGGGCAACCCUGACCGAGCAACGCCGCGUGAGUGAAGAAGGUUUUCGGAUCGUAAAGCUCUGUUGUAAGUCAAGAACGGGUGUGAGAGUGGAAAGUUCACACUGUGACGGUAGCUUACCAGAAAGGGACGGCUAACUACGUGUCAGCAGCCGCGGUAAUACGUAGGUCCCGAGCGUUGUCCGGAUUUAUUGGGCGUAAAGCGAGCGCAGGCGGUUUGAUAAGUCUGAGGUUAAAGGCUGUGGCUCAACCAUAGUUCGCUUUGGAAACUGUCAAACUUGAGUGCAGAAGGGGAGAGUGGAAUUCCAUGUGUAGCGGUGAAAUGCGUAGAUAUAUGGAGGAACACCGGUGGCGAAAGCGGCUCUCUGGUCUGUAACUGACGCUGAGGCUCGAAAGCGUGGGGAGCGAACAGGAUUAGAUACCCUGGUAGUCCACGCCGUAAACGAUGAGUGCUAGGUGUUGGAUCCUUUCCGGGAUUCAGUGCCGCAGCUAACGCAUUAAGCACUCCGCCUGGGGAGUACGACCGCAAGGUUGAAACUCAAAGGAAUUGACGGGGGCCCGCACAAGCGGUGGAGCAUGUGGUUUAAUUCGAAGCAACGCGAAGAACCUUACCAGGUCUUGACAUCCCGAUGCUAUUUCUAGAGAUAGAAAGUUACUUCGGUACAUCGGUGACAGGUGGUGCAUGGUUGUCGCCAGCUCGUGUCGUGAGAUGUUGGGUUAAGUCCCGCAACGAGCGCAACCCCUAUUGUUAGUUGCCAUCAUUCAGUUGGGCACUCUAGCGAGACUGCCGGUAAUAAACCGGAGGAAGGUGGGGAUGACGUCAAAUCAUCACGCCCCUUAUGACCUGGGCUACACACGUGCUACAAUGGUUGGUACAACGAGUUGCGAGUCGGUGACGGCGAGCUAAUCUCUUAAAGCCAAUCUCAGUUCGGAUUGUAGGCUGCAACUCGCCUACAUGAAGUCGGAAUCGCUAGUAAUCGCGGAUCAGCACGCCGCGGUGAAUACGUUCCCGGGCCU
rnacentral:rRNA from 1 species